UCAUUUCUCAACAAUCUCAUGGAGUGGAAAACGUUUUUCAGGGAUCCCACUUUCUGGUGGGACAACAGGUUCAAGAAGAAAAACAAGUUCUUCUCAGAGUCCUACCUGGAUUUCAAACAUGUUUCUACCAGAGAGAGCCUGUGGAUCGCCAACAGGAAAACACCAACCUGGGUCUCUGCAAAACUCGAGUCGCUCGCUGACCCAGCUGUAGGUAAGGCCACCACGGCCCGCUACAAAUCUCCACAUACCCCACCUGUAGCUGGUGAUGAACGGGUGAGUUUAGGGAGGCUGAUACACCGCGUGAGAGACUCAGCUGAGAGCAGAUCCCUUUCUUUGGGAAAACAAGCCCAUGAAGCUGUGCUCAAGAGUGAUAAGCACAAAAGCAACAUCUACUUGUUGACGGGAUUGAUCGAUAUGUACUGCAAGUGUGGCGAGCUUGAGGAGGCUCGCAAGAUUUUCGACUCCAUGGGAACCCGGAGUGUUGUGUCCUACAACGCGAUCAUCCAGGGCUGCGGCUCGAAUGGGCAAGCUGAACUUGCUCUGGAGUACUACUCUGCCCUGAGAGCUUGUACCACCAUUCAACCCAACGAUCGGACACAUGUCGCGGUGAUCAGCGCCUGCUCCAGACUUACUACCGAAUCCAGCGAGAAGAGGGAGAGAGCUCUACGCAUUGGGAUGGAGAUCCAUUCAAUUCUCAGCAAGGAGAAGAAACAGGUAGAUCUGUUCGUGGCGACUUGCCUGGUCGACAUGUACUGCAAGUGUGGCGAGCUUGAGGAGGCUCGCAAGAUUUUCCACUCCAUGGGAACUCGGAGUGUUGUGUCCUACAAUGCGAUCAUCCAGGGCUGCAACACGAACGGGCGAGCUGAACUUGCUCUGGAGUACUACUCUGCCCUGAGAGCUUGUACCACCAUUCAACCCAACGAUCGGACUCACGUCGCGGUGAUGAGUGCCUGCUCCAGACUUGCUACCGAAUCCAGCGAGAAGAGGGAGAGAGCUCUACGCAUCGGGAUGGAGAUCCAUUCAAUGCUGAGCAAGGAGAAGAAACAGCUAGAUCUGUUCGUGGCGACUUGCCUGGUAGACAUGUACUGCAAGUGUGGCGAGCUUGAGGAGGCUCGCAAGAUUUUCCACUCCAUGGGAACUCGGACUGUUGUGUCCUACAACGCGAUCAUCCAGGGCUGCGGCUCGAACGGGCAAGCUGAACUUGCUCUGGAGUACUACUCUGCCCUGAGAGCUGAUAACACCAUUCAACCCGACGAUUGGACUCAUGUCGUGGUGAUCAGCGCCUGCUCCACACUUGCUACCGAAUCCAGCGAGAAGAGGGAGAGAGCUCUACGCAUUGGGAUGGAGAUCCAUUCAAUGCUGAGCAAGGAGAAGAAACAGCUAGAUCUGUUCGUGGCGACUUGCCUGGUAGACAUGUACUGCAAGUGUGGCG
rnacentral:lncRNA from 1 species